rnacentral:rRNA from 1 species
AUUGAACGCUGGCGGCAUGCCUUACACAUGCAAGUCGAACGGCAGCACGGGUGCUUGCACCUGGUGGCGAGUGGCGAACGGGUGAGUAAUACAUCGGAACAUGUCCUGUAGUGGGGGAUAGCCCGGCGAAAGCCGGAUUAAUACCGCAUACGAUCCACGGAUGAAAGCGGGGGACCUUCGGGCCUCGCGCUAUAGGGUUGGCCGAUGGCUGAUUAGCUAGUUGGUGGGGUAAAGGCCUACCAAGGCGACGAUCAGUAGCUGGUCUGAGAGGACGACCAGCCACACUGGGACUGAGACACGGCCCAGACUCCUAUGGGAGGCAGCAGUGGGGAAUUUUGGACAAUGGGCGAAAGCCUGAUCCAGCAAUGCCGCGUGUGUGAAGAAGGCCUUCGGGUUGUAAAGCACUUUUGUCCGGAAAGAAAUCCCUGGCUCUAAUACAGUCGGGGGAUGACGGUACCGGAAGAAUAAGCACCGGCUAACUACGUG